AUUGAACGCUGGCGGCAGGCCUAACACAUGCAAGUCGAGCGGAUGACGGGAGCUUGCUCCUUGAUUCAGCGGCGGACGGGUGAGUAAUGCCUAGGAAUCUACCUGGUAGUGGGGGACAACGUUUCGAAAGGAACGCUAAUACCGCAUACGUCCUACGGGAGAAAGCAGGGGACCUUCGGGCCUUGCGCUAUCAGAUGAGCCUAGGUCGGAUUAGCUAGUAGGUGAGGUAAUGGCUCACCUAGGCGACGAUCCGUAACUGGUCUGAGAGGAUGAUCAGUGACACUGGAACUGAGACACGGACCAGACUCCUACGGGAGGCAGCAGUGGGGAAUAUUGGACAAUGGGCGAAAGCCUGAUCCAGCCAUGCCGCGUGUGUGAAGAAGGUCUUCGGAUUGUAAAGCACUUUAAGUUGGGAGGAAGGGUUGUACGUUAAUACCGUGCAAUUUUGACUUUACCGACAGAAUAAGCACCGGCUAACUCUGUGCCAGCAGCCGCCGUAACAC
rnacentral:rRNA from 1 species